rnacentral:misc_RNA from 1 species
AGCACAAGCCUCUGAGGAUUUGAGGUAAACUAUGCUACCGCUUUCUCUACCAGCUGGAUUUUGGAGGUCUUCCCCACCCUCAACCCCCUCCCCUAAACACAUAUCACAUUCAUGACCAUGGGAAACUCCUCUGGAGUUGGGGCAAUUUGAUACCAGAUGCUUAAAGAUCGAAGAGGCCAGUUGCCAGUCUUCAAAUUAAUUAAAAAUAAUGCAACUCAUAAAUGAGUCAUUUUUGGUGUCAUCCAACUUUGUAGGAUCACUUUUUAACUGGCCUGUGUCAUUCUUGUUCUAUUGUGAAUAAUAGAGGCUGUGAUCUGCAAGCCCUUGCAUUGUAUAAAAACCAUAAACAAAACUGGUCCUAAUUUUAUUUGUGGUAAUUACUUUUAGCUAAGAUAGGUAAGUUUAGUCAAUGAUCAUUAAGCCCAACGCUUUCAGAUGUUCAAUUCAAGGGGAAAGGGAGAGGGAAGCAUUGUGUUUUCCUAGUUGCUUGCAGUAUGAGGCAAGUGUGCAGUUGUUGGCUAAUUGACUUAAAACAUAAAGCUGAAUUGAUGAUUAUCACUCUAAGGCUUGCCCAAUAUACUUGUUUACCAUGCCUUUUGGCUUGGGUUUGAUUUCUUUUUGCUACCUAUGCAAUAAAGUCUAGCUUUAUUUUGCUUUUAGGCACAUUGGUCCUUGUCUUCAUCCUUAUUGUAUCAUCUUAGAACAUAUUGCUGAUACUGGUAUGAUAAAAGUUUAAAUGUUUUGUAAACAUUUUUAGCCUGUAAAAUCAAAUGUUCCAAAGGUUAUUUUUCUAUUGCCGUUUUGGAGUGAACAUCAGUUGUCUCAUUAGCGUGUUUGUAGCUUAAAUACCAAUUAUGUUUUUGAUAUGUUAUUGCUUUAUAACAUUCAAAAACCCCGUGUGUGCGUUUGUGUGUGUGUUUGUGUAUGGAAUGAACUUUUGUCAUACAUCAUCAUUCAGUAGUGAUCUUUCUUCUCUCUUUCUCUCACUCUCUUCCUUUCUCUCUCUCUUUAAUUUCCUUGAAAUUCUUCUAUCAAUAAAGACUCUGUUAUCUCUUUAUUAACACUUUUCGUUGAGAAUAAAUUGUAAUAUUGGCAACAUACUUUUUGUCUGUAGAUUAAUUCAAAACUACCAUCAUGUCUCUCUUCUUUCAUUGCCAUUGAUGGUGUCACCAUGUUAUGACUUGUCACAAUUACAUAAUACUUGCUGCAUCAUAACUAUUGCAUCACUUUCUUCUGCCCUAACAUUGAAUCACCAGCAUCACUGAAGCAGAAUUUCAGUGUUUUACCUUCUCCUCAACUUAUGGAUUUUUCUAUACAAGCAUUUAUAUUCUUCAAAUCUUGUCUAGCAUCAUACAUUUUUGAUGCCCUGUGCAGUUCCUACAUCCACAGUUGCAUAUGUCCCUUUUUUCUUUAAAGAAUUAUGCAUAUAACUAAUAAAACGCGCAAAUUGCAAUCUUUUUUCGUCCAUAAAAAUUUAACAUUCACUAUAUGGAAAAUAUUAUUUUAGCAUCUAGAUUUCGGAUCCACUAAAAUAUAUGAAAAUUGAGGACAAGUGGAACUGGGGUUCCUGACUUCUAAUUUCUACUUUUUUAGGUUGGAAAUUUAGUAUAUUCAAAACAUGAUUUCCCUCCCUGAAUACAUAUCUCU